rnacentral:rRNA from 1 species
CGCGUAGGCGGUCUGCUAAGUCCGAUGUUAAAGACCGGGGCUCAACCCCGGCACGGCGUUGGAUACUGGCAGGCUGGACGGCUGGAGAGGCGAGUGGAAUUACCAGUGUAGCGGUGGAAUGCGUAGAUACUGGUAGGAACACCCAUGGCGAAGGCAGCUCGCUGGACAGCACGUGACGCUGAGGCGCGAAAGUGUGGGGAGCAAACC